UAGGGAAUCUUCCGCAAUGGGCGAAACCCUGCCGGAGCAACGCCGCGUGAGUGAUGAAGGUCUUCGGAUCGUAAAACUCUGUUGUUAGGGAAGAACAAGUUGGGUAGUAACUGACCCAACCUUGACGGUACCUAACCCGAAAGCCACGGCUAACUACGUGCCAGCAGCCGCGGUAAUACGUCGGUGGCCAGCGUUGUCCGGAAUUAUUGGGCGUAAAGCGCUCGCAGGCGGUCUUUUAAGUCUGAUGUGAAAGCCCACGGCUUAACCGUGGAGGGUCAGUGGAAACUGGAGGACUUGAGUACAGAAGAGGAGAGUGGAAUUCCACGUGUAGCGGUGAAAUGCGUAGAGAUGUGGAGGAACACCAGUGGCGAAGGCGACUCUCUGGUCUGUAACUGACGCUGAGGAGCGAAAGCGUGGGUAGCGAACAGG
rnacentral:rRNA from 1 species